rnacentral:rRNA from 1 species
UACGUAGGGUCCGAGCGUUGUCCGGAAUUAUUGGGCGUAAAGAGCUCGUAGGCGGUUUGUCGCGUCUGCUGUGAAAUCCCGAGGCUCAACCUCGGGCCUGCAGUCGAUACGGGCAGACUAGAGUGCGGUAGGGGAGACUGGAACUUCCGUGGUGUAGCGGUGAAAUGCGCAGAUAUCGAGGAGGAACACCGGUGGCGAAGGUGGGUCUCUGGGCCGUAACUGACGCUGGAGGAGCGAAAGCCGUGGGGAGCGAAACAGG